GAAAACUAACAGUUUUCUAUUCUGAUUCCUUUGUUGAAGGGAUGGAUGUUGUAGAGGAGAGAUGUGGUAUAUUGGUAGUUGUAGUCGGUAUGGAGUUUAUUGGGGUGUUUGUGAAAAUUGGCAACUCCAACUUACGUGCCCAAAUCAUCCACACCUUGUAAAAAGUAGGUUUAACCCUUCAUAGAGUAGAACCUGUUUGUGAGUACCUAUAUAGACAUGGGUUCUGAGAUGAUUUUUCAAGGGCACCUCAAUGCAUAUUCGGGCAUAUCUCCCUCUUAUAGUAGAAGUUGUACAAGUAUCAACUUUUAGUAGUUUCCCAAUCUUGUUUCCUACCUUUUGUAGCAUUUGAAAAUUAUAAAACUCCAUUGGAAGUUCUUGUAGAUGCACCCAUCGAGCAGCAUAUAUUAAUUGGACUGCUGAAGCACUAAACUUAGGCUUCAAACGGCGAACAUAGAUGAAAUGGUUAAGUAUGAACCAAGCCCUUCAUGUAAAGCCUUAUACAUAUUUUUCUCAUAAUGGAAUUUGAUAAAGAUAAAAUUACAUCCCAAGUAUAUAAGAUGAAUUUCUUCCGUUGGCUUCGAAAGAUUUGUUAGUUUAACGUUUAGUAGUUGAUGUCUAGCUAUUUUGCCAAAAACUUUGACUAUAAUAGAAUUUUUUCAAGGAAUGUAUAAUUGAGCUUAUCUUCAGUUGUUAAAGGAAUAAAAUUAUUUAAAUUAUCCUCAUUCGAAGUUUCAUCGGUUAAGUCUAUUGUAGCGUUGAUGAAUUGGGUGUUUGAAAUGUAUGUAGGUGGAUGGAAAUUUGAGGCUAGUGUCUGAAGAAAUUAUUUGGUUUAUGAUUGGAUUUCUGGUUUGUCAAUUUGCAUGUGAUGGUGAAUUGGCGGGUCCAUUAUUAUUCUUAGCGAAUGAAACAAUAUGGAUGUAGAAGGGGAGUUGGCGUAGAAAGCAUUUUGGUUUUUCGAUUAACUUAAUAAUUAAACCACUUGAUGUUCACAAC
rnacentral:lncRNA from 1 species